rnacentral:rRNA from 1 species
GUGCCUAAUACAUGCAAGUCGAGCGGCGGAAGCAAGACAACUCACCCGUUCGGGGUGUGCGUCUGGUGGAACGAGGCGGCGGAGUGGGUGAAGUAACCACGGUGGGCCAACCUGCCUGUAAGCUUGGGAUAACUCGUGGAAACGCGAGCUAAUACGAAAUAAAAGUUUUGUUCGCAUGAACAGACGAUGAAAGACGGCUUUUUGCUGUCACUUACAGAUGGGCCCGCGUCGCAUUAGCUAGUUGGUGGGGUAAAAGCUCACCAAAGCAACGAUGCGUAGCCGACCUGAGAGGGUGAUCGGCCACACUGGGACUGAGACACGGCCCAGACUCCUACGGGAGGCAGCAGUAGGGAAUCUUCCGCAAUGGACGAAAGUCUGACGGAGCGACGCCGCCGUGAGUGAUGAAGGUCUUCGGAUCGUAAAACUCUGUUGUCGGGGAAGAACAAGUAUCGGCCUAAUACGCCGGUACCUUGACGGUACCUGAUUAGAAAGCCCCGGCUAACUACGUGCCAGCAGCGGC